rnacentral:tRNA from 1 species
CAUCGAUCAGUAAUCCUGUCCAAUGUCGGUCGGUAACUCAGCAUCAUAGCUCGUCAGAUGAUCUGUCUAUACGCUUUUAAUUAUGAUUUCACAUCCUAACUAAGUUUGAUCACUCACUGCUCACACUGUUUAGGUCACUCCCAGCACACAUCUUAUGGGCUAUUAGCUCAGGUGGUUAGAGCGCACCCAUGAUAAGGGUGAGGUCCCUGGUUCAAGUCCAGGAUGGCCCAUUCGUUGUUGGGGGUAUAGCUCAGUUGGUAGAGCGCCUGCUUUGCAAGCAGGAUGUCAGCGGUUCGAGUCCGCUUACCUCCACUGAUUAACCACCUAAUAACUCUUUUGAUGGAGAGUGUUUGUGUUUUUGUGAUUUAGGUGUUGUUCGCUGAAUGAACCUAGCUUCAUAUCAUUCCUUAAAAAUAAUUACUUAAUUUAAGGCUGAUAAGACGCUGGGCUCUCGGUAUUUCUUAAACGAAUUACCAGAAAGUUCAGUAGAACCUUGACAACUGCAUAGGUAAGUCUGGAAAGAAUAAAGCAUCUCAUAGAUGCAUUUACUUUAUUAAUUAAGCUUAGUCUUUUUUAUUUUAGUAAAUGUUUGAUUCUUGAGUAAGAAGCCGAGUCUAGA